rnacentral:rRNA from 1 species
GACGAACGCUGGCGGCGUGCCUAAUACAUGCAAGUCGAGCGGAACUGGGGGAGCUUGCUCCUUCCAGUUUAGCGGCGGACGGGUGAGUAACACGUGGGCAACCUGCCCUGCAGAUCGGGAUAACUCCGGGAAACCGGUGCUAAUACCGAAUAGUUUGGCGCCUCUCCUGAGGCGCUACGGAAAGACGGUUUCGGCUGUCACUGCAGGAUGGGCCCGCGGCGCAUUAGCUAGUUGGUGGGGUAACGGCCCACCAAGGCGACGAUGCGUAGCCGACAUGAGAGGGUGACCGGCCACCCUGGGACUGAGACACGGCCCAGACUCCUAGGGGAGGAAGCAGUAGGGAAUCUUCCGCAAUGUACGCAAGUCUGACGGAGCAACGCCGCGUGAGUGACGAAGGUUUUCGGAUCGUAAAACUCUGUUGUGAGGGAAGAACACAUACCAACUAACUAUUGGUACCUUGACGGUACCUCACCAGAAAGCCACGGCUAACUACGUGCCAGCCGCCGCCGUAA